CCAUUAGUAGUAAAUUUAUUGAAAAAGAAAGAUAAAACCAAUUAGAUGGAUGUUUCACAGUCUAGAAAUAUGUAACAGAAAGUAACUUUUUUUCUUCAUUUUUAUAGGAUUUGUAUAUACCUUUGAAAAUGUGCACAAGUCACUACCAUAACCACAUUUAAAAAGACAUGGGAAUAAUAUGUAGGUUUCCAACUACAUGAACACAUGGAGCAAAGUUGAAAACAGGCCAACUAGAGUAACUACAGUUACAAAACUGGAGAUAGAUUUACAAGUAAAAAAAAAAAAAAAAAAAAACUUGCUUCAUUAUCAUAUUUUACAACUUGUAUUCACUGGGUGAAAUACAAAAUUAACUAAGAAAAAUAAAACCUUGUCAGCACCAUUGCUUGCAUCUCAACCCAGUCAAUCCCUCCAGAAUUUUUGAAAAUGUGUAUUGUUUUUUUACACCGCUUGAAACAUGUUAAAACAUCUUGUUGAUGUAAAAGAAAAAAGAAUAUCCACCUUUUUUAUUUUGCAGGUAGAGUAUGCUAAUACAUUUACAUAUGGUACAUAACUGUAAAGCGCUAACUUCCAACCAAAACCAUAUAUGCACUUUAUUCCUCAAUUCCUCCUUAAUGUUGGGCCAUUUAAUUGAAAACCAAUGCUCAAAUACACAUAGUCCUCAAUUUCCUGCAGAGAACAGUAGAUUUAAAAAGUAUUUGCCCCCCUUCAUAUUUUCUCAGUUAUUGCAUACUUCUGACAAAGAAUAUUGUCAACAAAAUCCUAAUAUUAAAUGCAACCUGGGUGAACAAUGAUAAUUUGUGCAAUGUAUUUCAUUUAUUUAAAAGUUACGCACAACCCAAAUUCACCUGGGUUAAAAUGCAAUUGCUCCCUUAUACUUAUAACUGGUUGCAUCACCUAGUACAUGCUAUGACUGUAACCAAAAUGCUUCCGGAACUUGUUGAUCAACCUGUUAAAUUGCUAUAGGAAUACUGGCCCACUGCCCACAGCAACAUAUUAUUUUUUUUUGCAUGAACUGCACAUUCAAGAAGCAGCUGGAAUAAAUUUGGAUGACUUGCCAUCAUUGAAGUAACCAUGAAUUAAGCUGCAUCAGAGUAAGCUAAUGGAGAACUCAAGGGGAAAUACACAUUUUGUUGUAUUGGAUCAUGGAGAUAAGGAUUGCUAUUUUAUACAUACCAUGCUAUUUGAACAUAUAUAAUGCAUUUUACCACAAUUAGAAAAAUGUAUAUUAC
ensembl:lncRNA